GUGGAAAUUCUGGUGCUGUUCAAGCUCGAAUUGGGUAUUACACAGAUUAUUGUAACCAGUUUGGCGUUGCACCUGGCGACAAUCUAAGCUGUUAGGUUACAUUAUGCAUAUUAUAGUAUAGCAAAGAAAUGAAAUGGAAUCUACCUUCUGCCAUUUCUCGAAUGUAAGGUGGGAUACCCAGUGGUGUUCUGUAACUCUCGAUCGAGUUCGAUGUAUUUCUUGGAAUGGAUUUUACCAAUAAAUAAAUGAAAUAAAGGCAUCACAUAAUUGAUUUUGCUUAUCAUGUAUUUGCUGGCUUAAUUCGUUGUUAUGUUCAUUGCAAUUGCAAGUUUCUUGUUUAGUUUUUUUUUUUUAUUUAUAAUCUUUAAUCUUUAAUCACUAAUGAAAGUUUUGCUCUUGGGCAGAACCUCCUCAACCAUAAUUAAUUCCCCUCUGCCAUAAUCAUGUUUUGCGUUGUGAUCUCUAGCCAUAGUUGUUCAGCAACAUAUAUAUAUAUAUAAAAAAAAAAAAAACAAGGAACAAUAGGAUAUGACACCAACUAGCACAAUUUAAACUAAUUAGACUGGGAAUAAAAAAACAGGGGAAGAUAGAAUUCACCAAAAGGGCCAAACAAAGAACCCUAGCUGCAUUGUUAUUUUCAGAAUAAUAUUCUUCCACCAAAAUCUACAUCAUAAAAAUAUUUGCAAUAAUUUAAAUAACCUCAAUCAAAAUGGAAAAAAUAAUCCUACAUAGACAGAAAAAUUAAAAGCUAAAAUUUGAAAUAAAUAAAAACUAAAACUAAAAAAUUAACAUUUUUAAAAUUUAAUUUGAAAAUCUUUCUAACCUCAACUUAUUACAACGAGACAAUAUUCCACUAUAGAAUAUGCCUGCAGAAUCUUUUAAUGAAAUUUAAACAUGAUUCAAUAAUUAAAUAAAAAAUUAUGUUUAUUUUCAUUAAACAUAUUGUUUAGAGGAACUAAACUUUUUCUUGAGUUUGGAUUUUUUAUGCGAUCCAUAAAUAUAUAUCUGCUAGGUUUUUCAUAUACUCUAGUUACAACAAAUUUAUAUUUGAUUAUGAUUAUUAUUCUUGUAGAUUAAUAUUAGCAAUAACGAACAAUAUUUGUAUGGGAAAUUAAAUUCCUUAUAACUAACUUACCCAACUCUCAAGCCCUAGAUGUACAUGGUGUGGUAAAGGAUUUAAAAGAUAUGGUAUUAGUGUAUGGGAAAGAAAUUAAAAUAAAUUAAGAACUUGGCUCUGCCUCGGUGCUCAGUACCAUUUGAUUUCUAACAUCUAUGCUUCUAGAAAUUUUGAACUCAUAGUUUGUCCAAAGUUUUUUUUAGCAGCCUUCCUUGAUGAUCUAUAUGAAACGAACAAUGAAGUCAUUGAGAAGCCUACAACACUUAUGGCGCGUUGAGUGGAAGAAAUUAUCAAAGCCUACAACACUAAUGAAAUUUUAAUUAUUACAUAGGAAAACCCAAAGUUUACAACACGUUAUUCAAUGAACUGUAAUAUAAAUGGAUAUUUGCAAACAACAUUCUCUCUAUUAUUUUCUAACAUACCAAAGAAAAUUUACGAAGCCAACAUUAUCGAUCGCAUAAUCCAUUAUCUGUCGGAGUCUCGGUACUAGAGGGAUUUGAUUCCAAAUCACACAAGCCUAGUAACUUUACUAAUCAGCUCUCUUUUUAGGUUUCUUUCGAGUUUUUUAUUAGUAAUUCUUCUCCAAUUUGUCGUCUCAAGCUGGUUUUUACUGUCUAUUUGCUGAUCAAGUCAAAGAAAAGAACAUGCAAUUCCCCCUAUUUAUAGGUUAUGGAAGAAGGUAAUAUUUUCUUCACUUUGAGAAAAUUUUCAAUCCUUAAUUCGGAUGGAAAUGAUCACAACCGUUGACUUAAAAUAGGCAGCAUGAACUGUAUAAAUUUGACAGUUAGUGGCUGCUUGAGCUGGCCUCUUUAGGUUGGCACCGCGACCUCUAUGGUGUUAAUCAACCUAAACAGACCAUACCAGGGUGUAAAAGGAUGUCAGGUGAUCAUUUACAUGCAAGUUUUAGUGAAGGUUAGAUGCAUUAAAUGCACCUAUGAAGUUGUUUUUCUAAGCUAUCAUUUCAGUGAAAAUUAAAGAAGAAGAUGAACAAUAACCAAAACAGCGCCAUUUUGGUAACAUUCACUUUAGCCAUUUGAUUUCUAAUUUGUCUCAAUUACACCCUUGAUUGACUUCAAAUUUUUAAUUUUAUGUAAUCUCAUCCCUAGAAAAACCUCAAUGUCAGCCUCGGAUAUCGCAAUGACCGAUUAAAAAUAAUCUAAGAAAAGAAAAGAUAUCAAACAUCUUAAUCUGUGGGGAAAAGGUCUAGUUUAAGGAGUUACCACCUAGUAUUACAGUCAGACCAACCCUAACUGAUCAACAGAGAUUAUAUUGUACGGGACUGGUUACGCGAAAUGAGAGAUAUUAUCACCCCUUAAACGCCUUACUUAAAGCAAACUACAUUGUUGGUUUUGUUUUAAAUUGCUAAGAUUUCGUCUUUGUUCCAUUUUUAAGGUCAUCCUAUAAUAUUCUCAACUCUGACGUAAAUAGUUAUUCCCCUAUAAAUAUUUUCAAUUCUAGCGUUGGUAAAUAUUGUGCAAUCCAUAAAGUACGGUAAUCCUAACUAUGACGUUAGGGAAUGAGUCUGCAAAUUUUAAAUUUUAAAAAAGAAAGAAACAAUUUUUUUAUUUUUUUCUGGCCGGAUCUAGGUUAGCUAUACAGGUCGGGCUUGAUCCAGCUAGCAUGAGCUUGGUCACUGAAAUGCAACAAGCAUACGUCAAUUAUAAUUCACGUAUGCGUGUAUAGCAAGAAUGUAAUUAAAAUGACAAUGGUUAAGGGCCAAGAAUAAAAUUAAAAAUAAAAGAAUAAGAAUUAAAUUUGAAGUAUCAAUAACUAAAAUGACAACAUUGAAAUUCUAAAUGGCUGGUGCGAUUUUCGAGAGAAGAAGAGAGAGAAAAGAGAAAGAAAAAAAAAAACUCACCAACAACAAUUCAUCAUACCACCAUCACCACAUGCCACACCACAAAAAAUAAUAAGAUGUAAAGAUUUCAACAACAUAACGGAAGAGCUUUUUAACCACUGUGACGCAUUGUGCGUGCUAACAGAGGUUAUGGGCGCCUCCCACACGUUGGAGUAUGAAUUGUGUAUAUCAUCAACUUUUCUAUUUUAAUAUUAUUUAAUUUUUAUUAAAAUAUUAAAUUACCAUCAACCAAUUUGAUGAUAACAGAUAAAAAAAAAAACAUAGUAAAAAAACAUAAAAGCUUCUAUAUGCAAGCUUUAGAAAUUUUGCAAGUCUUUUUAUUGCUCUUAAAAUAGUGAAUUGAUGUGAAAGCCCUUAAAAGUUAGUUUCAAUAAUUUUGCUUUGAAGGGUAAAAAAAAUUAAAAAAGACAAGCGGUCAAUAUUAUAAUUAAUAAUAAAUCAUGUACGAAAAGAAAAAAAAAAUCCCCAAUGUAAAAGCCAUUGGUUUUUUUAAGAAGGGUAAAUAGAUAAUUAUACUAUAGCAUAGUAAAUUAUUUAUAUGACAUAGUAUCUUCACCUUUUGUUUUAGCUUUAUCUUGUUUUCUGUUAUAUUGCUAGACAUCUUUUAACCGCAGCUAAUAGUAUUCACAGCAACAAAUAUAACUAAAAGCAACCAAGUAAUCACUACAUAGAUCCUUAAUGUGUUAUUAAAUAUUAUAAGAGAUUUAAAUAAAAAAAAUAUAUAAAACGGUUCAUACACAAAAUUUAUAUGGUUUAAGAGCCACACUUUCUAAAAAAAUUAAUUUUUUUUCUUCAAAUUAAAUAAUACUAUUUGAGAGUAAUUGAGUUUAUCUACUGAAUUUAUCAUGCAAUCUGUUUGCAACGCGAAGCCCCAUGUAUCUCAAGCCCGUCAUAUUAUAUUCCAAAUGAAGGCCCAAAAACGAUGGGCCAUUAUGACGACAGCUGUUCAGCACUUUAUUUAGGCCCCCGUCUUUCAAAUGAAAUGCAAUUACAAUUUCAGGAUGUCUUAGCAACAAUUCCACGACGUCGCAUCCAAUGGUUCUCAGACGCAUGAAGCACAAGGCUAAGCUUCUGUCUUCAAGUGGAAGUCUACACAGCAUAUUGAAGAUGAAUGUGAGGUGGAAUCCCAAGGCUCACUGGACUCUGGAAUCAGACAAGGGAAUCUUCGUUGUUUAACAUCUUCAAAUUCUGUUGUUGAGGCAGAGGUGCACGGAACGUUGAAAACUGGGCAGGCAUUGGGUUUUGGAAUGUUGAGGACUUGCAGGUGCUGGCAACAUCCAUUAGAGGCCAUGUGGACAGAAAGAUGGAAGAUUGGAAUGACGACCAAUAAUGCCAUUUUGCAGCUCGACAGUGGAUGUGUAUUACCUUCUUUCUUAAUGAAGAUCUUAUUCUGGAAUAGUUGUGGAUUGGGUAUGUCUGCUAAGGGGGUAUCGAUUAGGAAUACUAUUCUGCAUAAUGACAUUGAGGUGUGUUUCCUGCUAGGAACUAAGAGGGCAAUGUGCUGUGACAAAUUUGUUCAUGCAUUAUAGAAUAACUUAUCAGUCAAAUGGUUUAAUUAGGCUGGAGGUAUUUUAGCUACGUGGGAUGAAAGGAAGUUCAUGGUUCAUUUAGCCAAUAUCAAACUAGAAUGUGAUGGUGAAGAUAUAAGGAUGUGUUUUGCCAAACACACACUUAUCAAAUAUGGACUAGGCAAGCUGGAUUUGAAGACCAGACUUGGCCGACACUUUUUUUCUUUUUUAUUGGACAAGAUCUAGCCCAGCCACGCACCCUGGGCUAAACCUAGUCAGUCAACCUGGUUAAUGGCUUAAGCCAGUGACCUAGCUGCAGGAAGGAGCAGGCUUACCUGCUUUGUGCAAUAUUUAAUUUUUUGCAAGCAUAAUAACAACAAGAAAAAUGACUUUGAAAAUUUCUUCUUCAAAUUCAAUUUUUUACCUCGUUUAUAAUCCAAGUGUAUUAAAAUGAGAGCUGGGGAAGAAAAAAGACUUACCUAGCUUGCAAAGACAUUGCACGAGAUUGUAAGUGCUAGGUGAAUUUGUAGUGUCAGAGGAAGAAGAAGAAGAAUUGUGCAUGGUUGAAACAGUGUCGUUUUGAACUGGGAAUAAACAAAUUUAAUUAUUUUAUAGUUUUGUAAAAAAAUUUUUUAAAAAUAUUUUUAAAUAAGCGCCGAUGAAAUUACAUACGGUAUUUUUUUGAGAAAAAUAUCGACGAAAUGAAGCGGGUAAUUUUUUUUGCGCUUUUUUCGUUAGUAAAUCCAUCGGUAAUAAUAUUUUUUAUUACCAACGGAUAAAAAAUUACAGAUAAAAAAUUCACCAAUAGAACAUUUUCAUCUGUGAUUCCAUCGAUAAAUUAAUUACUAAUAGAAUAAUAGUACAAACGCCGAUAAAAAAUUACAUCGGUAAAUAUAAAGAUUAUGAUAGUGUAUUAAAGGUUCACCAAGCACGGAGUUUAGAGUAGAACGUGACUAUGUCAAGCCAAGAAUCACUAUCGCCUUUUCUUUUUGACAUAGAUAUGAAGGGGUUAUCUCUUCUAUUUAUAAGAGCUUCCACUUCUGGAUUAUUUAAUUAAAGGAAUCCAUUAUGGAAAUGGGAUGCAUAUUGUUGAAUAAACUCAAUCCAGAAGCUCCCAGAUGGUCAAGGAAGGCAACCACCAGCUGCCACCGACCAGCCACCAACCAACCAGCCACCAGCCGCCAGCCACCAGCUGCCACAGCAGCCAGCCGCCUUCACACUUGAAGGUUGAAUUUUCUUGUUUUGAUUUCGUGUAUAAAUAGAGUGCCCAACCUCUGUUAAAUUGUGUGGAGAGAAUUGAGAGGAACACUAGAAAGAGAAAGAGAGAGAGAGGGCGUGUAAUUGUUAAGCUUUUGUUGUGUAAUUGUAAGCUUCGGUUUUUUGUAAUAAAACAGUGUGUUUUAUCCCCUCUGAGUGUUUCAAAGCCACCACCAGUGGUUCCUCCCACCAACAAUUGGUAUCAGAGCUCCGUUCGUCGGAAAACAGAAGAGUUUUGCGGUAUAUCCGAAUUUUCAAAAUUGUCAAAAACAAGUUUUGAUCAUUCCACAGUGUAGAGCUCAUCAAGACGAACUCACUGCCGCAAAAUCAGCCUCAUCGGAGUCGAGGUAGCCCACACGCGCCUGAAUAUCUGCCAGAUCGCCCACGCGCCCCGAGGUUGAAGACGACUGAGCCAACGCGCGCCAUUUUGAGCCGCGCCGCGCCGUUACGCCGAGUCCUAGCCAAGCCGCAAGCCGAGUCCAGCCGAGCCGAGCCGUCCAGCCCGAAAGAAUAUUCCCUGGAAUAUUCCCGAAUAUUCCCCAGAAUAUUCCCGGUUCAACCCAGCGAACCGCCCGCCAUACAGAAUUGGUUUUUUGACCGGUUCACCCAUUUUCUGACCUGAUUUCAACAAAGUCAGACCGGUUCCCAACUAUUUGGACUAUUCCAGAUCGAUAUACAGUGUCCGUUUGGUCAAAUUCGGCUCCCAGAAAGGUGAUAUAGUCAUUCAAAGAGCAAAAUGACUACAGAAGGUACACAUACACUCAUUCCAAAGCUGACCAAAGACAACUAUGAUAGUUGGUGCAUCAGAUUGAAGGCAUUUCUUGGGUCACAAGAGUGUUUGGAUAUUGUACAAACUAGUUAUGAUGAACCAGAGUCCAAAAAAAGAGAAGAUGCUUUACAAGAGGCACAGAAGCAAGCCCUCAAAGUCAACAGAAAGAAAGACAACAAGGCAAAGACCAUCAUCUAACAAGGUCUUGAUGAAGAUACAUUCGAGAUAAUAGCUUCCGCUGAAACAUCACAUGAUAUAUGGGAGGCUCUCCAACAGAAAUACAAAGGUGCUGACAGAAUCAAGAAGAUUCGUCUUCAAUCUUUGAGAGGAGAAUUGAUUAUUGCAAAUGAAGUCCUCAGAGUCUAUUUCUGAUUAUCACACAAGGAUUAUGGUGAUAGUCAACCAGAUGAGAAGAAAUGGAGAAGCCCUCAUCGAUUCUCGAAUUAUGAAAAAAAUUUUGAGAUCCCUAGAUCCAAAAUUCAAUUUUGUUGUUGUCGCAAUUGAAGAGUCCAAGGAAGUGGACAAGUUGACGGUUGAUGAGCUUAUGAGUUCGUUGCAAGCUCAUGAGCAGAAGAUAGUAAAGCGAAAUGAAGAUAAGGCCAUCGAGCAUGCCUUACAAGCAAAGCUGUCUCUCAAAGACAGAUAUGAGCAAGGGGAGACUUCAUCAAGUGGCUACACCACUCAAGGAGGAAGUCAACAAUCCAGAGGAAGAUUCCAGAGAUUCCAAGGAAGAGGUUCUUGGAAUACAAUCUUUAGAGGAAGAGGUGGCAGAAACACCACCAGAGGAGGCUGAGGCCAACAAGCAUUCACUCCUAGAGGAAGAGGAGGCGGUUACAAUAACCGUGACAAGAGAAAUAUCAAAUGUUAUAGUUGCAAUCAAUUUGGGCACUAUAGCACUGAAUGCCGAUGGAAAGCUCCGUUGGAGAUACGUGAGCAUGCCAACUAUGCAGAGAAGGAUGACAGAGAAGCAUCUGCAUUUCUUGUCCAACAAGAACUUGGCGAGAAACAGGAAAAUAUAUGGUAUCUAGAUACUGGAGCCAGCAAUCACAUGUGCGGCUACCGAGAGUUAUUUGGUGAUCUAGAUGAGACCAAGCAAGGUCUAGUUACUUUUGGAGAUACCACAAAGGUUCCAUUCAAAGGUAAAGGCAGCAUCCCAGUCAAGUUGAAGAAUGGCGAUUCCAGCUACAUCGCCGAUGUGUAUUAUGUCCCAGCCAUAAAGCAGAACCUGAUCAGCUUAGGUCAACUUUUGGAGAGAGGAUAUAGUUUUUACUCGAAGAAUUGUCAUCUGACAAUUAGAGACAACAAUGGGAGAUUAAUGGCCUACGUGAAAAUGUCCAAGAAUAGGAUGUUUCCUUUGAACAUCCAGUAUGAUGCAACAAGGUGUUUGAGUGCCAUCACCAACAGUGAAGAAUGGCUUUGGCACCUGAGGCUUGGACAUCUGAAUUUCACGAGUUGAAGAUGCUAGCAAGCAAGAAGAUGGUCAAAGGUUUGCCUCACAUUGAUCAUCCAGAUGAAGUCUGUGAAAGUUGUGUCCUCAGCAAACAUCACAGAUCCAGUUUUGCCAAAGAAGUCAACUGGAGAGCAAAGAGGCCACUGGAGUUAGUACACACAGAUGUGUGUGGCCUAAUUACGCCUAUGUCGACUGGACAAAAUAGGUACUUCCUCACUUUUACUGAUGAUUUUAGUAGAAAGACGUGGAUAUACUUUCUGAAGAGGAAGUCAGAAGUAUUCAAUUGUUUUAAAGAUUUUAAAGCAAUUGUGGAGAAGCAAACUGGUUACACGAUCAGAACCGUAAGAUCUGAUCAAGGUGGAGAAUAUACAGCAAAUGACUUUGAAGCCUAUUGUACACAACAAGGCAUCAGACAUCAACGACACCAGCUUAUACACCACAGCUGAAUGGUGUAGCAGAAAGGAAGAAUCGCACGAUUCUUGACAUGGCAGAAGUCUGCUCAAAGCAAAGAAGUUGCCCAAGCAAUACUGGGCUGAAGCUGUAUCAUGUGCAGUGUAUCUGUUGAAUCGCUGCCCAACCAGAAGUUUGCAAGGAGUCACUCCAGAAGAAGCAUGGAGUGGUCACAAACCAAGUGUUACUCAUCUACGAGUCUUUGGUUGUGUGGCAUAUGCAAAGAUCCCAGAUGCAAGAAGGAGAAAGCUCGAUGAUAAGAGCGAGAAAUGCAUCUUUGUCGGAUAUGGUGAAAGAAGGAUGGGAUACAGGCUGUAUAAUCCCAUCACGAAGAAGGUGAUUACGAGUAGAGAUGUUAUCUUUGAAGAAGAUAAAUCUUGGGCAUGGAAUGAUGAUCAAGAAGCAGUCAGAUGGAUCAACACUGAUUUGAUCCUUGAAGGUGAAGAAGUACCAACAGUACUUGUAGAAGAACCGAUUGUGCCAGCAGCUGAACCACAAAGUCCAGUAUUUAUACCAGCAGCUAAACCACAAAGUCCGGUACACAGAUUCCCUGUAUUCAACAGGAGGAACACACCAGGAGCAUCAUCAUCAACACCACCAUCAGCAUCCUCAUCAGAAAGACCAAGAAGGAUACGGAAUCUUGAAGAGUUGUACGAUACCACUCAGGUCAUGAAAGAUACAACUCUGUUUUGUUUUCAUGCAGAUAGUGACCCAUUAAGCUUCAAUAAAGCUGUCACAGAAAAGAAAUGGAUUAAAGCAAUGGAUGAAGAAAUACAUGCCAUUGAGAAGAAAGAUACCUGGAAGCUGACUUAUCCACCAGAAAAGAAGAAAGCAAUAGGUGUCAAAUGGGUCUACAAGACGAAAGCCAAAUUAGUGGAUAAAGCCUAUAAGCAGAGAGAAGGCAUUGAAAGGAGAAGUGUUCAUGCUUGUCAUGACAUCCCUCGAUUGAGUUUAAAGGGGAGAUUUGUUGAAUAAACUCAAUCCAGAAGCUCCCAGAUGGUCAAGGAAGGCAACCACCAGCUGCCACCGACCAGCCACCAACCGACCAACCACCAACCGCAGCCACCAGCUGCCACAGCCGCCAGCCGCCUUCACACUUGAAGGUUGAAUUUUCUUGUUUUGAUUUCAUGUAUAAAUAGAGUGCCCAGCCUCUGUUAAAUUGUGUGGAGAGAAUUGAGAGGAACACUAGAAAGAGAAAGAGAGAGAGAGGGCGUGUAAUUGUUAAGCUUUUGUUGUGUAAUUGUAAGCUUCGGUUUUUUGUAAUAAAACAGUGUGUUUUAUCCCCUCUGAGUAUUUCAAAGCCACCACCAGUGGUUCCUCCCACCAACACAUAUGAGUUAUUUGCAGAUGAUAAUUUUAGUGUUAUUCCUAAUCAUUUUUUUUGAUAAUUAAUGCUAAACGAUUUUGAGGUGGUUUGAAUUGAGAUCUAAAGGUUAAUUUUUUUUAAAUAUUCACUAGUUGACAUCAACCUAGAUGAUGAAUUUACAGUAGGAAUAACAAAUGUGAUAAAUAGUGUCGCACCCAAAAACUUUCAACGCGCGGCAUCGGCUGGCGAUUUAAAUCUCGUUUAUUGCGUUUGCUUGAAUUUGGUUCGUUGGAGUCGCCACCUAGUAAUUGAUUUCGGGCUACUAGGAAACCGGAUGUACUGGUCUUGUCAGAGAUUCGCGGGUAAGGGACUGGUUGUGGUUAGGGAAGGUAUUAGCACCUCUAACGCACCUACCUGAGGUAAGCUGCUUCGUGGCUUUGACGUGUUAAAGAAGUUUUAAUAAUUGUCUUUUUUCUUCGGAUUAGAAAUAUCACUUACGUAUAAGUUAAUAAUUCUUAACCGUGAUCCGAUCAAAUAUAAAUUCUUCUUUAAUAUAUUUGCAAUUUUAUCAUUAAAAAUAUGUACAAAUAAAUAAAACAAAAUACAAGCACACACAUACACUUUUAUUUUAUUUUUGUUUCUUUUCUUUUCGUUUUCUUUUCUUUUCUUUUACAUCCAUAUUUACAAAAUACAAAUUACAAAACAAAAAAAAAAUCAAAACUAAACAAAUUACAUUAAAAACACAUUAAAAUUACAAAACAAUCCCUAAAAUUCAGGAAAAACAACUCUGGGAAACAACUCAAGCCCGAAUGAACAGUAGCGGCGCGUCUUCCCACGCGCCGCCACUGGAAAACAUGGCAAACCAGGGGUGUAUGGAGCGCCUUCCUCCCCCGUUCAUUUUUCUGCCGGCGGUGAGGAUCCGGUCACCUGCAAACACAAGAGAAAUACACAAAGAGCAGUCGGUUUUAGUUUUUUAGAUCUGUUUUUAAUUUUCUUCUGCCCGUUUCGGAUCUGCUCAAUUCGUUCUCUUUCUGGUGGUUAUUCCUUCGUUCUUCAGAUGGCGGAGUGCUGGGUGGCUCGCCGGCGCGUGCUGCGGCUGAAGAGGGGAUCGUGGAUCUACCACCGGUUUGAAGGAGAUGAUGAGAGUGUUGGCCCGCGCGGGAUCUGUUCGGCCAUCGCUGCUGUUGCUACCCAAUUUUUGACCCAUGUUUUUUUAUAUAUUUUCAAAAAAUCCAAAAAAAACAUUAAGAAAAAUUUGAAAAUUUAAAAAUAUUUUUUUCUCUCUCGAGUCAACCGCAUCUCUUCACUCAAACCAUGUCGACCAGGGUAAAAAAUGAGUUUCGGGCUGUUUCGGGUGAAAAACAUCAUUUUCAACCAAAAUCGGGUUCACCGGGUCAAUACGGGUCAUACCAUGUUGACCAGGGUAAAAAAUGAGUUUCGGGUCAAAAAUAUCAUUUUCGACCAAAACCGAGUUCACCGGGUCAAUACGGGUCAUACCAUGUCGACCAGGGUAAAAAAUGAGUUUCGGGUUGUCUUGGGUCAAAACCGUCAUUUUCGACCAAAACCCGGUUCAUCGGGUCGAUACCCAUCAAAUGUUUUUUUUGGUAUUUCAUUUUUUGGCGGUUGAAACGAGAUUUUUCUAAUACUGAUUUGAAUUUUUAGUUUUACCCAUGUAAAUAUUUAUUAUUAUAUAUAAUAAAACAAAAUUAUGGUAGUUGUGUGCAAUAUUUAUUAUUAUAUAUAAUAAAACAAAAUUAUGGUAGUUGUGUGCAAUAUUUAUUAUUAUAUAUAAUAAAACAAAAUUAUGGUAGUUGUGUGCAUUAUUUCUUAUUAUAUAUAAUAAAAUAGAAUUUAAUGGUUGUUGUCCCGUGGCUAUAAAUAGCCACGAGAGGGGGGCAGAAUAAAAGAGAGAAAAAAAAGAGAGGAAGAGAAAAGAAAAAGAAAAGAAAGAAUCGAUUGAUACUAUUCCUAAUUUUUUUAGUUUUUCUUCAGGAGAGUAGGAUAUUGUCUUUUAAAAAAAACAAUUUAAAAAAUACCAAACAUAUCCCAACACAUCUCAGCCGUUAAUAUAUUCCAGGAUUUAAUCCUGUUGCGCCACGUCAUCCGGUGCACCGAGCUUUCGGUGCACCGCGCCACACAAAAUCAAAAACCAGACAAUCUGGGCCGUCCGAUCAACCUGCUGAUCUAGCCAAUCCCAGCCAUCCGAUCGUUUCAUCCAAGAUCCAACGGUUAACAUCCUUCAGCGGCACCGGUACACCAUACACGCGUCCGCACCGUAGCAAAUCUCGGAGCAUCUCUCUCCUCUCGCCGGCGACUCUCUCUCUCUCCUCAGAUCUCCACUUUCCGGCCAUAUAAAGUCUCCGAACCACCACAGAAAGGUUCCUCACAUGCCGUAAAGUAAAACCCCGGUGGUUUUCAUCGUUUUCACCGCCUCAUCUGGCCGGAAAAAGGCCGCGAUCGUCGCCGGCCACCGAAGCUUCAAGUCGUCGAUUCUCCCUCGUCAGCCAUCAACGGCCGUCGAGACCACCACCAACAGAAUCCUUGACCUCAGAUCUACCAGAACCGACCAUCGGUGGGCCAGAAAUCUCGCCGGAAAAUUUCGCCAUCGUCAACAGUGACAGCGCGUGAGACACACGCGCCGCCAGUGGCAUUUUCGUAAUUUUUCAAGAAAUCCGAGGGUAUUUCAGUCUUUUACCUAUACUGUGUCACUCAUGUAAUUUUUUUUUUGAUUGCUAAUUUUUUUUUAUUUUGUAUAUAAAUUUUCUUGCAUGUUGUAAAACAAAAAAUAAACACAAAAAAAGAAUAACAACGCGGGUCCAACACCCAUCCUAUUAUGUCAUCAUUCGUGGGUCCAAAGCCCAAUUUUUAAAUAUAGUUAUAGCCAUAUCUCAACGAUAUUAAAAUAUUUGUUUUUAUAAACAAAUAUUGUUUGUCGACACGUCUCUUUUUAUAAAAAGGACCGAUGUCAAAUAAAAAAGUUUAAAUACCAAACAAAUAUGGAUUAUGUCCAUAAUUUUGUUUUUUGGUAACUCAGACGUACUUCUCCUUUUUAGGGUUAAACGUCAAUAUUUUAGACAAGUCUCCUAUUUUUAGGGACUGAUGUCAUUUUUAACGUGUCUCCUAUUUUUUUUAGGGACCGACGUUAACCAUAAAAAAAAUAAUAAAAUUGCAAAUAAACUCAAAAUAUAAUAUCAUUUGAAACAAAUAAAAAAACACACAAGUAAGGGUAACCUUUCUUUUGAAAGGAUGUUUUAAGGGUGGUGUCUACCUUCCCUUAAUCAUAACUAACCCAGUACCCGAAUCUCUGGGACCAGUGUCUAAUUUGGGAUUUCUAGUUCCCUCAAAUUACUAGAUGGCGACUCCAAUAAAUUUUUCAUUUCCCCCAAUUAAACAAAUCUUUUUUGUUAAAUAAACAAAAAUGAGCGGAGCCGUCGCCCGACGUCGUGUAUCGACAGUUGCUGUGGAAGGAAAUCGACGGAGGAGCAGCCGUGGCUGAGGAGAUCGCCUACAGAUCGGUGGCUUGGUGGUCUGUCGGUGUCCGGAGGGAAGUCCUUGGUCGCUGCCUAGAGGCCGAAUGGAGAGGAGAGUGAACAGCGGUUGAUGGCUCCGGGUGAGGCUGGUUCGGUGGUGCUGCCCGUUGCAAGUGAGAGGGUGAGGUUUUUUUGGCUUGGGAAAUUGCCGGCUAUGGAGAUGGAAAUGAGGGGGGAACGAAGUGGCUGGGUCCGAAAAAAUCAAAGCCAAGGGGAAAGAGCUGAUGAGCGGGGGAAGCGACCGAGGAAGAAUGAAAAAAAUUCGAAGGGCUGGGGGACGGCGGCGUUUCUUUUUUUUGUGCAGGGAGAGGGGAAGGUCUCGGUGACCGGUUUCUGGUUAAGGUGAAAAAUAUGGGGGAACAGCGUGGGUAGAAGCUGAGGGAAGGGCUGUUUGGCUUUGGUUUGUGGCCGGCGGCUGUAAAAAAAAAAAAUAAUAACCAGGGGGAAAGGGGGGCUGCAGGCUUGGUAGAGAUAGGUUUAGGGUUAGGUUAUUUUUUGUAUUUUCUGAUAUUUCAAAAUUGCCCCCCUCCUUUGUGUGAGUUAAAGACCAGUAUUUAUAGGCAAAAAUGUUGCCAAGUUUUUCAACUUGGUCCCUCAACUUCUUUCUUUUUGUAAAUUUUGAUUUUUCUUAUUUUUUUGUAUUUUUUGAAAACAAGAAAUAUCAACGUCGACUCAAAUGCGGAAAAUCAAUGAUUUUAAAAAUGACGCGUGAAAAAUCGAACGCGUUUGAAAAUAUUUUAACAAUUUAAAUUCUUUUUUAGACGACGUUGAAAAUACUAAAAUGACGAAAAUAUAUUAAAAAACAUAUUUUUUGGAUUUUCUUUGUUUUUCUCAAUUUUUUGGAUUUUUGAAAAUAUAUCAAAACAUGGGUCAAAAAUUGGGUAGCAACAGAUGCCCCCUCUUUACAAUGCUUACGAAGCAAAACUCCUCAAAAUUUUGCAUAGUAAGCUUUGUACAGAAAACAAAAGGAAAAUAAUUUUAUUAUCUUGGGCAACCUGACUACACAUACUCACUCUAGUCUAUUUUCACGGGCGACCGACCCACACUCUCCCAAUAGUCUAUUUUCACGGGCGACCUGCCCACACAUUGGGUUUACCUGAGAUCCCAUCUGGCGACCUCAUUCAACUGGAACGAAAAUAUUGUGUAACUCGGUUAACCUGAAAUCCCAUCUGGCGAUUCCCUUUAACCAAAGCUACCCGAGAUCCCAUCUGGCGACCUCAUUUAACCAAAACAAAAGAAUGUGAAAAAUGGUCUCAUUGUAUGGGUGACAAACCCAAGAAAAAAAUGAUGGUCUCAUUGUAUGGGUGACGAACCCCAGAAAAAUGUUGGUCUCAUUGUAUGGGUGACGAACCCCAGAAAUAUGAUGGUCUCAUUGUAUGGGUGACGAACCCCAGAAAUAUGAUGGUCUCAUUGUAUGGGUGACGAACCCCAGAAAAAUGAUGGUCUCAUUGUAUGGGUGACGAACCCAGGAAAAAUGAUGGUCUCAUUGUAUGGGUGACGAACCCAGAUGGAAAAAAAUGUGAAGUGUGGUCGCAUUGUAAUGGGUGACCUACCCACGUGGAAAAAAUAUGAAGUGUGGUCUCAUUGUAAUGGGUGACCUACCCAGAUAAAAAAGAAUAUGAAGUGCGGUCUCAUUGUAAUGGGUGACCUACCCAAAAAUGGAAAAAUAUGAAGUGUGGUCUCAUUGUAAUGGGUGACCUACCCAGAUGGAAAAAAUAUGAUGAAGUGGUCUCGUUGUGAUGGGCGACCUACCCAGAUAGAAAGAAUGUGAAGUGCGGUCUCAUUGUAAUGGGUGACCUACCCAGAUGGAAAAAAUAUGAUGAACGGUCUUAUUAUGAUGGGCGACCUACCCAGAUGGAAAAAAUGUGAUAUGACAAGUGUGAAAAAUAGGACUUACCUGGCGAAAUCCUGAGGGGAUGACAGAAGAAGGGCUGGAAAACUUGGUGCUUCCUGAUAAUUCCCGAUCAUAGGGUUUGAAAACUCGGUGUUUCCUGACUGCAAGGGUUGAAAACUCGAGGCUUCCCGAUUGCAAGGUUGAUCUUUCCAUUUCUUUGGGAUUUUCCUAAUGGUAGGGUUCAUCCCAUCGUCCUUUUAUUCGAUGAUCAAAACCGAUUCUUUAUUAUCAUCACCACAAUGCUUCUUUCUCUUUCCACCAUCUUGCUGGACCUCAUUAAGGAUUUUCCUGUAACAAUUCAAAAAUAUGUGCAAAUGGUUUUUUUUUUUUUUUUUUUUUUUUUUUUGAGGUUAGAUGAUAUACAUGCAUCCUUACCUGUUUUGAAAUAAUAGGUCCCCCCUCUUUGAUGCUCCAUCGUCAUAGGGUGCCCUUAUUUGUAUCCCAAAGCUUUCUUUGUUCUUCCGAUGUAUUGGCUCAUUCAUGUGUUAGUCAUCCACUCAGCUGUAAAUGCAGUGCCCAUCCCGGGCUGUCUUCGACAAUUACUGCUUGCAUCGUUCAUGAAGCUUGACCCUCCCCCCAAGUGUAGUACUGCUUGAUUCAUCAUGAGCGAUUUUCUCUCCUGGCUUCUUCUGAGAAAUUAUCCUCUGAUUGAUUGUGUGCAUCAUGCCAACACCCAUCACGUUUGUUAAUCAGUCAUGAACUUGCCUUCGGUUGAAACACCAUUCAAGUAUGUAUGGUCACCAGCCUUCAUGGAACUGCCAAGUCAUCUAGACAUGUAUCUCAUACUUUGCAGUAAACAACUCAUCAUUGUAAGCGCGAUGUAUUUCUCUAUGGAUUCCUCUUAGCUUGUCAAAUCAGAUCAUGAAAAUACUUGCUUUGGCAUCAUUAAUGAUGUUCAUGUUAUCACCCAUAUUCAUGCGGUGAAGUGCGCAUUUGAGCUUCAGAAUAGAUGGUCCCAUAGUCAGUCUUGGUGGUGCAUCCUCCUUUCAGCCUUCAUGCACAUGCAACUGUGUGAUAACAUCGUUCAAAAGUCAUAACCAUGUUGAAGAUGAUAAACCAAGAUGAAGACAUGAAAAUAUCCUUCUAGUGCAUCGUUUCUCAUCAAUUGCUGCUGAAGUUCACUAAAUCAUGGAUUGUCUUUGAACAACAUUGCCCCUAGUUGAUCUGAACAUGCUCAUUCUUUUGUUUACAACCAAAUGGCUUUUGUGAAUGUCAGGAAGGACUUUGAUGGACUUUGAUGAUUCAUCAUGUGAUUCUUUCUUUGCCCCCAGCUGAUCUGGAUACUGUUUGCUUUCCCUCUUAAGGUCCACUGUAUUGCCCCCAGGUGGUCAACGUUUCAAAGAGUGUCGAGAAAUGUUGAUGUCAUUUUUUGUCAAGAAUUUUGCAAACUCAAUUGAUGUUCUUGUUUGAAAAUCUUUCUUGUUCUGGAAUCAAAUCUCAACAUUUCAACGAUCAUGUCUAUUCAAGUAUAAUUGUUGAAAUGAAAUCAAAGAGAUAUCAGUUUUUGAAAAGUUAUUUUUGAAAUUCGAGCUCCUUUGGUCAAAGACCCAACACACUAUUCACUGCAGUCCUUUGAUUGUCUUGUAUUUUGAAAACAGAAAUGACCCGUUGUAAGAUUAAAAUGACUUUUUCAUGGUUCUGUCCACUUUAAACUCUGAUUUUGGGUAUAUCUUUUGAUGGUAUGGUGAGGUGAUAUUUUUGUGAAUUUCAAAACAAGAUGCUCAGGCUUGAUAAAGAAAGGUUGUUUCUCUUCUAGUAUUUAUUUUAUCAGCAUGCAUAAUAACCAGUAGCUUAAUUCAUGAAGUCACGACCCUUAUAAAAACUCUUCAAGUUUUGAGAGCGCCAUUUAUGGUUCAAAUUGCUUGCUUGAUUAAAAAGGGCUUUUAAAAGCACGUAAUGCAGGCUAUGGUUCAUGGCUAUGAAAGAAAGGAAUUUCAAAGGCUCAAAAGGUGUUUGAGGGUUUCAAAGACCUAGGAUCAACAUCAACUAUUCAUCAACUCUUUCUAUUGUUGUCUUUGUAGGAAACGACAUAUAACCUUGUUAACCUCAAAGUUCAGAUUUCUUAACAUAGGUCAUAAUGCAAAUCCAACCUUUCCUUGAUGACUAACCAACCUUAAUCAUCUGAUAACAUCAAGAGCUUUAUAAUGGAUACCAAAAUUCAACGCUUAUAGCUUAGUCUUUUUCUGGUAUUGACUUUUGUUGUGCCUUUCCUUGAUUGAAAUUUCUUUUGCUCUUCAUAAACUUGAUAGGCGUUCUCCUUCCUUUAUCUUUGACUUGUAUUUAAGUGAAGGCAAUUUCAACUUCCUUUUUUUCAUUCUCUUUUUUUUUUCAUAGCCUUCCUCAAAAUUUUCUUAUAUGCCCCCAGUCUAUGUGUUUUCUUUUAGCUCUCUCUCAAUCAUUGGACCUUUGUUAUAAGCCUUCCCCUUUAUCCAUUAAUUAUAUCAAUGUCUCCAAAAUAUCUCUCAUUUGCCCCUAGUGUGGGGUGUGAUCCUAGUCAGGGUUUCUUUUUGAAAGAAAAUAUUUUACCAGGCUCAAAAUGGGACUGCAAGGGAUAUAAUCUUUAGAAAGUGAAGGGAUAUCAAAGAUGGCCUUUUCUCAUUUCAAGCAAGGUCGGUUAAACCGAUAAAUUUUGACCUCAUCCAGUGUAAUGAUUGGACUUGUAAGAGUCAUGAUUCACGAGUCCAUAACUAUUGAAUCCACUACAUGUCAUUAUGCAUACUGCUAAAACUUAGCUAUAUGAUGUGUGGUUCAGUUUCAAAAGGUAUGAGUUCAAAAUUGUUUGGUCACCUCAUGUCAUUUUCAAGCAUAGAGUCAUUUCUGUAAUCAAAACACUUUUAAUCUUCCGGAUUGAUUAACCUUUAUCGCAUGUUGGAGUUUGAUCAAAAUAUUUUGUCAGAAUAAAAUGUUAAACAUCUGUUGAUUUCAAAACAACAAAGAGACAAAAGCAAGGCAUGUUUCGUUGAAGGAUGAGAUGUGAUCCCAAAACAAAAUGCAGAAUUCCAAAACAAUAUGAUUGACUGUUCAUCACCAUUCUUGAAUCAGCUUUUCUGGCAAUAUCUGUGUUUUGCCAAGCAUUUUCGAUCACAUGUUUCUGAAGAUGUUCGGGGAACAAUAUAGCCAAUGACACCCUCUUCAACGACUCCACUUGUCUCUUGCUCACCAACUUUCAGACUCUUCUUGCAAUUCUUGAAACUGUUCACUUGAAAUGGUUGAGGACCCCACCAUGACAUCACAUCUCUUUCUGGAUUAACCACCUAGAAAUUGGUGGUUGCAUGGGAUUUGUCGGAGUCAAGCAAAAUUCUGGAAUCUGGCAGAUGCUGGUCGACAAACUUAAGUGGCAGAGGAAUGUCCCAUCUUGGCAAAGACAUUUGAGCAAUUGAUGCUACCGUGAGACCUGGCUAUACCACAUAAUUAAGGGUUCACACCGUCAAAGUCAUCUCCUGAUUCAUCUCAUCAUUGUUCUGGAAUCCAUGGCAGAUCCUUCAAUCUUUCUCUUCAUAGCUUGUUCAAUUUUCGGCAAAUCCUCACAACUUAUUUCAAUCUUCCAAUGUUGUGUUGGUUGAGGAUUGUUAGAAAACUUUCUAACAGCUUGGUAAUCUUGGCAGCGCCCAGAAACUUGUAGUAUCGCCACUACCGUGUGGAAUCACACAUUGUCUCUAUUGGAAGAGCACCUGAUGAAUCUAAAACUCCUUUGUCCCCUCUUCGAUUUCUCACUGACAGUGCAGCAAACAAACACCUAUAGAGGAAGUCCUGCUCUGUUGAAGUUUCAGUAUUCUUCAUGUUUUUCAGUCUAGGCAUGUCUCUUCUCUCUACUUUUGCUUUUAAUACUGACACUGUUGGAGGAAAAUCAUAGAUGAUCUGAAACUACUGUAUUCCUUCUUGGAUUUCCCACUUGCGGAUCCACAAACAGAUUCCUGCGAGAGAGCUCUACGUUGAAGUUUGAUGUCUGCUCGUAUUUUUCAGACCAGGUCUGGCUCUUCAACCUACUAAGAUGUCUUCGUGCUGAAACUGAUGAGAGAAAUAUUUGUAGCAUAUGCAACUUAUAAAUCCCCUCUUGCAUUCCCAAUUUGCAGAGCCAUAAAUGGAUUUUAUAGAGGAGCUCUGCCACAUUGAAGUUCAGUGUUAAUCAUGGUUUUUCAGACCAUCUUGUGCUGCUGAACUGGAAUUGAGCUCAUAAUGGGGUAACUUCAAAGCAGACUAAUGCACCAUGUACAUGAGGCUAGUGGUCGUUUGGUUCCAUUAGAUGAUGUGGAGGCGAUGAACACUUAACAGUGCAACUGGACAAGAAUCAGAGUUGUCAUUAGUUGAUGACUGAAGGCAUUGUUGUUUUGUUCAUGACGGAAAAGGAGAGAUACACUUCAAUUGGAUGAACAAGCAGUGUUCCCACAGAAACUGUGCAGACACUCUCUUUCCAUUUGAUGCUCAACACUUGUUCGAGCAGAUCUGAGUCGCUACUUCACCUUGAUGCUCUCAACCUAUAUCUGAGCCUCUUUGUUCACUUCCAUUCAUUUUUCUUCAAUCGUGCAGCACAGCUUGUAUGGGGACCUACUUUCACCCGGUACAUGCAUGAUAAAUGUAUGAACAUGUAAUCUAUAUGAUGAACUCACCCUUCGAGAGGUGACAAUAUGGUCGUAACUCUUGUAUGAUGGACAAGAAUCGUGAUUUUUGCCCAAACUCUACAAUGAAAAUUUUCGGAGCAACGGCCAAUGUGUCACCCACAAGUCUUGAGUUCAAGAUGCUUCAAGAAGGGUUUGCCCUUAUGCAAAAAACGAUAGCACAUACAACCUAAGGACAGGUUCUAUUCAUUAUGUGAACAUGGGUAGGUUUUCUAUCUGGUCUCAAAAGGGUCUCAUAUCUGCCCAGUGACGUUCUUCGUAAAGACAGUAUGGGGGCGUUGCAAGGAAUGGUUAAGGCACGUAUACCCACCAUUACCAAGCAGGCACUCAGAUAUGAGUUGGGUGUUUCACGCAUCUGAACCCUGACCAAUAGUCUUAGGGCAGAUCGCUAGUUCCCCACCUAACCUAGAAGCUUGUGUGUGCUUUCAAAAAUAAAUACAGGUGAUGCAUGAGACAAUUCUAUAAAAUGCAUGGAAAUAAAUAUUAACAAAAAAGAUAAAAAUGCAAAAACUUAAACACAUCAAAUACACAAAGCUUAGUCCAAAUCGAAAAAUACCUUCCCAGUGGAGUCGCCAUUCUGUCGCACCCCAAAAAAAUCAGCGCGCGGCAUCGGCUGGCGAUUUAAUCUCGUUUUUGCGUUUGCUUGAAUUUGGUUCGUUGGAGUCGCCACCUAGUAAUUGAUUUCGGGCUACUAGGAAACCGGAUGUACUGGUCUUGUCAGAGAUUCGCGGGUAAGGGACUGGUUGUGGUUAGGGAAGGUAUUAGCACCCCUAACGCACCCUACCUGAGGUAAGCUGCUUCGUGGCUUUGACGUGUUAAAGAAGUUUUAAUAAUUGUCUUUUCUUCAGAAAUUAGAAAUAUCACUUACGUAUAAGUUAAUAAUUCUUAACCGUGAUCCGAUCAAAAUAUUAAAUUCUUCUUUAAUAUAUUUGCAAUUUUAUCAUUAAAAAAUAUGUACAAAUAAAUAAAACAAAAAUACAAGCACACACAUACACUUUCACUAUUUUAUUUUUGUUUCUUUUCUUUUCUUUUUCUUUUCUUUUCUUUUACAUCCAUAUUUACAAAAUACAAAUUACAAAAACAAAAAAAAAAAUCAAAACUAAACAAAUUACAUUAAAAACACAUUAAAAUUACAAAACAAUCCCUAAAAUUCAGGAAAAACAACUCUGGGAAACAACUCAAGCCCGAAUGAACAGUAGCGGCGCGUCUUCCCACGCGCCACCGCUACUGGCGGCGCGUGGGUUCACGCGCCGCCACUGGAAAACAUGGCAAACCAGGGGUGUAUGGAGCGCCUUCCUCCCCCGUUCAUUUUUAUGCCGGCGGUGAGGAUCCGGUCACCUACAAACACAAGAGAAAUACACAAAGAGCAGUCGGUUUUAGUUUUUUAGAUCUGUUUUUAAUUUUCUUCUGCCCGUUUCGGAUCUGCUCAAUUCGUUCUCUUUCUGGUGGUUAUUCCUUCGUUCUUCAGAUGGCGGAGUGCUGGGUGGCUCGCCGGGCGUGCUGCGGCUGAAGAGGGGAUCGUGGAUCUACCACCGGUUGAAGGAGAUGAUGAGAGUGUUGGCCCCGCGCGGGAUCUGUUCGGCCAUCGCUGCUGUGGAAGGAAAUCGACGGAGGAGCAGCCGUGGCUGAGGAGAUCGCCUACAGAUCGGUGGCUUGGUGGUCUGUCGGUGUCCGGAGGGAAGUCCUUGGUCGCUGCCUAGAGGCCGAAUGGAGAGGAGAGUGAACAGCGGUUGAUGGCUCCGGGUGAGGCUGGUUCGGUGGUGCUGCCCGUUGCAAGUGAGAGGGUGAAGUUUUUUUGGCUUUGGAAAUUGCCGGCUAUGGAUGUUGCUACCCAAUUUUUGACCCAUGUUUUUGAUAUAUUUUCAAAAAAUCCAAAAAUAGAGAAAAACAAAGAAAAUCCAAAAAAUAUAUGUUUUUAAUAUAUUUUCGUCAUUUUAGCAUUUUCAACGUCGUUUAAAAUUUUUAAGGGUCUUUCGAAUGCGUUCGACUUUUCACGCGUCAUUUUCAAAAUAAUUGAUUUUCCGUAUUUGAGUCGACGUUGAUAUUGCUUGUUUUCAAAAAAAAAUACAAAAAAAACAAGAAAAAUCAAAUUUUACAAAAAAAGAAAGUUAAGGGACCAAUAUUGAAAACUUGUCAAUAUUUUUUGCCUAUAAAUACUGGUGUCCAACACUUGCAAAGGGGGGGCUAAUUUUGCAAUUAAAGAAGACAACCAAAAAACCCUAAGGGCUGAACAUUUUUUUCAUCUCCUGCACCCUAGGCAGCCGCCCCCCCUCCCCUGGAUUUUCUUCUCUGCGCCCUCAACUGCACAGCCGGCUCCCUCUUUUCCUUUCCUUUCCCCCUGCCCAGCACCAGCUCCCACAGCACCGUUUCCCUCCAGCUUCUUCACCCAAAACCAUCCUUCCAUCUCCAGUUUUCUGCUCACACAAGACAGCCCCUCACCUCCUCUCUCUUACUCCGAUCUUCACUCAUCAACUGGCCAUAGACCAACAACAGCCACGAAUUAGCUCCCCCUUCCACAGAUCCUCUCUCAGCUGCUCCCUUCUCCAGCCGCAGCGGCGCCUUCUUCAUCCGGCAGCACCCAGCAGAGCCUUCCUUCUCCAGCUCCUCCCUCAUAAAUCGCCCUCCACCAAGCUACACAGCAGCAGGCUCCUCCACACCGAAGCCCCGAACACAACAGCAGCAAAGGACAGCCCUCCUCCAGCCGUUCCCCCCAGCUUCAGCAGUGCCCACAGACCGGCCACCAGCAGCAGCAGCCGAUCUCCUUCACCGUCGUUUGCCAGCCUCCAGCACUCCUUGCUGCCAGUACAUGGAACAAGGGAGAAGAGGAUGAGCAGCAGCAGCUGAUCUGCUACGAAGCAGACCCAAAAGAGGCCGUGGCAGAUCUAAAAAGGGAGAGCCGGAAUUGGUUGUGUUGUUGGUUUUACUUUGCAGGUGACUGGGAGAUGCACUGCCGGUACGAACGAGAAGAGAAGAAGGAGACAAUCCCGAUCUACCAGCUUGCUGGUCUUCACCGGCGGUGGGCGUGAGGCCCACGCGCCGCCACUGUUCCCGCGCCCAGAAAACUUCCUUGACACUGUUCCGACUAUAGAGGGCUAUCCCUGUAAUUUCAGAUUGUUUUAGGGCUAAUUUUUGUAAUUGUAAAAAUUGUUUAAUGUUUUUUUUUGUUUAGUUGACUUUUUAUAAUUUGUAAUGUUGAUGUAACAAAAAAAGAAAGAGAAAGAAAAAAAAAGUAAUAAAAAGAAAGUGUGUGUUGUUUUUUUUAUUUAUUUAUGAAUUAUAAAAAAAAAAGGACGAAUUAAUUGUUAAUUUAAAUAUGGUUAAAUAUCAAGGACAAAUAAAAUCAAGUUGUAUUUUCUACGAAAAUGUAAGACAAGUUUCUACAUAUAUUCGGGAAUUCAAUAACUGAUUUAUUCAAGCCUUAGAAUUUAAUUAAUAUUGACAAAGAAUUGAUUUAAUUUAAAUAUGUUUAAAUAUCUCAAGGACAAAUAAAAUCAAGUUGUAUUUUCCAUGAAAAUGUAAGAACAAGUUUUUACAUAUAUUCGGGGAUUUAAUAACUGAUUUAUUCAAGCCUUAGAAUUUAAUUAAUAUUUUAAAUUUUCAAAUCACAUUAGAACACAAAGCAGCUUACCUAAGGUAGGGUGUGUUAGGGGUGCUAAUACCUUCCCUAACCACAACCAGUCCCUUACCCGCGAUCUCUGAUAAGACCAGUACAUCAGGUUUCCUAGUAGCCCUCAAUAAAUUACUAGGUGGCGACUCCAACGAACGAAUUCAAAAGAAAACGCAACAAACAAUGAAAAAUCGCCAGCCGACGCCGCGCGCAGGAUUUUUUUGGGGUGCGACAAUGGAGAUGGAAAUGAGGGGGGAACGAAGUGGCUGGGUCCGAAAAAAUCAAAGCCAAGGGGAAAGAGCUGAUGAGCGGGGGAAGCGACCGAGGAAGAAUGAAAAAAAUUCGAAGGGCUGGGGGACGGCGGCGUUUCUUUUUUUUGUGCAGGGAGAGGGGAAGGUCUCGGUGACCGGUUUCUGGUUAAGGUGAAAAAUAUGGGGGAACAGCGUGGGUAGAAGCUGAGGGAAGGGCUGUUUGGCUUUGGUUUGUGGCCGGCGGCUGUAAAAAAAAAAAAAAAACCAGGGGGAAAGGGGGGCUGCAGGCUUGGUUGAGAUAGGUUUAGGGUUAGGUUAUUUUUUGUAUUUUCUGAUAUUUCAAAAUUGCCCCCCUCCUUUGUGUGAGUUAAAGACCAGUAUUUAUAGGCAAAAAUGUUGCCAAGUUUUUCAACUUGGUCCCUCAACUUCUUUCUUUUUGUAAAUUUUGAUUUUUCUUAUUUUUUUGUAUUUUUUGAAAACGAGCAAUAUCAACGUCGACUCAAAUGCGGAAAAUCAAUGAUUUUAAAAAUGACGCGUGAAAAAUCGAACGCGUUUGAAAAUAUUUUAACAAUUUAAAUUCUUUUUUAGACGACGUUGAAAAUACUAAAAUGACGAAAAUAUAUUAAAAAACAUAUUUUUUGGAUUUUCUUUGUUUUUCUCAAUUUUUUGGAUUUUUGAAAAUAUAUCAAAACAUGGGUCAAAAAUUGGGUAGCAACAAAUAGCAUCCGCACAAGACUAGUUUCAUGGAAAGGUAAGUUCUAGCGAAAUGCAUUCACGGUGUUAUCAUAUGGAAUUUUAUGGGGGUAUUUGGACUGCAAGAAAUAAGCAUGUUCAAAGAUAAAAAGCUUGAUUGAAAUACAUUGUUUCAACUGAUACUCCAUCGUCUAGAACUUUCAUUAAAGGUCCGGAAUAAUAAUUUCUCAUACACGAAGAAUAAUUUGAUUUAAGGUCUCCAAGGCAUUUUAACAAGGUCUAAUAAGUGAUGAGUUCUUGUUUAUUAGUAGCAACUUCUUUGUAACUUCUUUUUAUGUUUUUCUCUAUAACUUCCUGUUUAUUAUAGCCUGAAUGAUAUGUAGUUUUAUCAAUAAUUAACUCGAUUGAUGAGUUGACGUCAUUCAUCAAACGCAAAUUAAGCUCUUAAUUAAUGAGAGGAAAAUGUAGGGUUGGAAAAAAGUUUGGAAGUGAUAAUCAGUACAUACCAAGCCAAAUAAGAUUGUCUCAGGUACUAAAUAGGAUUGUGUCCGGUGUAGUAAUAAAGUUUCUACCUUCUAUGGUAUAUAAAAUGUCUGACCACUUCAACAACAUGUCACGUAAAGAGUGCAUUAAUGUCAUUAUCCUAGAAAUUUUUCCCACACUUUAUUUAUUUUGCUAAACUUUAUAUACUAAAUUAUAAUCAACUCCUAGAUAUUUUACACGUAAAAUUAUAGACCUCGUCCACUUUGUGCCUCUAUAAAUAGCUUAACCUCGACCUUAUCUCCACACAUCACAAGAAAUUCCUUUCUCUCUUUGCAUAUCAAUAUCAAAACUCCCUUCAGGAGUAGCGAAAAUGAGAAGCAAUAUACUACUUACCAUUAUCUUAGCCAUAGUUCUUGCAGGAGCCCUGCCCAAGAAUGUGGUAGAGGCUCAGAAUUGUGGCUGUGCUGCAAACCUUUGUUGCAGUCAAUAUGGCUACUGUGGCACCGGCGAUCCCUAUUGUGGUCAGGGAUGUAAACAAGGGCCCUGUUAUUCAUCGCCUACGCCUACUACUCCUAGUGGGAGUGGUUCUGUUGCUGAUAUUGUUACGCCUGCUUUCUUCAAUGGUAUAAUCAACCAAGCUGCUGCAAGCUGUGCUGGGAAGAAUUUCUAUACAAGAAAUGCAUUUCUCAGUGCUGUCAAUUCAUAUUCUCAGUUUGGUAAACUUGGUUCAGCUGAAGCUUCUAAGCGUGAGAUCGCAGCUUUCUUCGCUCAUGUUACUCAUGAGACUGGACGUAAGUUCCUCUUCCAUCCCUAAUAACAUUUCUCGCAGCAUUCGAAUAUGGAUUUUGUCAACAAAGUGAACUGUCUAAUAAGUGUGUUUCAGAUCCUCGUGUGUAAACUGACAAGAGAAAAUGUCAUAUUUUGCAGACUUCUGCUAUAUAGAAGAGAUAAAUGGUGCUUCCGGUGACUACUGUGAUGAAAACAACAGGGAAUACCCAUGUGUUGCAGGCAAGAAAUACUAUGGCCGCGGACCACUCCAACUAUCAUGGAACUACAACUAUGGGCCAGCCGGAAGGAGCAACAACUUUGAUGGAUUGAACAAUCCUGACAUUGUAGCAAGGGAUGCGGUUGUGUCAUUUAAGACAGCCUUAUGGUUUUGGAUGAACAGAGUUCGUCCUGUUGUAAGCCAAGGUUUUGGAGCAACUAUUCGAGCCAUUAAUAGUAUAGAAUGCAAUGGUGGAAACGCAGGUGCUGUUCAGGCUCGUGUUAGAUAUUAUAGAGAUUAUUGCAGUCAACUCGGCGUUUCUACUGAGAAUAACCUCACUUGCUAGGUUUUUAAAUAACCUGAGUUGUUAUGCCAAGUUAUGGCUAAUCAUAUGAAAAUAAGAUGUACUGCUAUGAAACAAAUUGAAGAGAAAUAAAGUUUAUAAUUAUCGUUAUGUCUCGUAUAGUUUUUCAGUAAUUUUGAUGUCCCUUUUCAUAUUUGUUUUUAUUACUUGGAAAAACCUCCACUUUACUUCGCCAUAAAUUUGUGUUGAAAUUCAAUUUACGCCUUGUACGUAUUUUAUUUUCCAUCAAUUGAGUCCAUUAUAACCAAAAGAUUGUCCAUCCAACCCAAUAUAUUAGCAAUUUGAAAUUGAAAUCACUAUAUGUGUGCAUAUUCAUUUAAUUUAUUCUUCCAUUUCCAUAAUACAUUUUUCAAAUUUAUGUUAAUAUCCAUAGUAGGAUCUACUCUAAUUAAUUACUUCUCGAGUAAAACAAAAUUUCAUGAUUAUGACAUUUUUUCUUUUUAUGUUUUUGAAAAUGAAAGGUUGUGUUGCCUUGCCUAUUAUGUUUAUAAUACAUGUUCAGCUUACUUUUCAUCUUUCAAAUUUGGUUGAUGCAGAGUGUUUUUUAAAAUGAUUUUUAUUUAAAAAUAUAUUAAAAUUAUAUUUUAUUUUUCAUAUUAGUAUAUUCAAACAAUAAAAAAAACUUUUUCAAAAACAAAUUAAAAUUUAAAAAAUACAGUGCAACCGCACUUCUAAACAACACCGAAGUUAAAAAGAAACUAAGUUGUGGUUUUUUAGAUGUUAAGAGCCUAUUUGAGAACACGGUGUAAACCACAUUCUUUUAAAUUUAAAAAAAAUUGCUAAAAUUUAUUUUUUUAUGUCUUGAGAUUUUUUAAUGUGUUAAUGUUAAAAUAAUUUUAAAAAUUAAAAAAUAAAAAAUAUAUAUUUUUUAAAAAACAACUUUAGACUGCAACAACUAUUGAAAUUUUAAACAGUCCAUAAGAAAUUGAAUUGAAUUGUACAGGAUCUUUGCCAUGGAAUCACUAUUGGGAUUAUUUAGUGGUUCAAAAUCAUGUUGAGCUAGCCGACGUUGAAAAUCAUCAAUAUUAAUGGAGAGACUUUUCAAAGAAGUUGUCAAGUCCAUUUCUGACAUGAUAGCAAUUAUGGAUUGGGGUCCAUGUCCAUGUACCAACAUUGUAUAGAUCAUGAACCAAGUUUAAUGUCAAAGGAUCGAUUUGCCAGGAAAAAAAAAUUGAAAAAUGAAAAAUUAGGCAACUUGCUGUGAUUUCCUUUUGCUUCCCUAUUAUCGUAUUGUUCGGCGGUGCUAGGCCAUGUGCUUGGCUCACUUGACCGGCAGCACUAUAUGUUGACCAAAGCAAAUAUGAUCUUUUCCAAGAUAUACGAUAUGGCCGCAGUGUGGUCAAAUAUCUUGGUAGUGUUGAUUAAUGGAGAGCUAAAGCCACAGCCCACCCAUUUCUUAUCCACCUAGCCAGAUGAGGAAGAAACGAUGGCUCCUAUUUUACUUAUUUUUCAGCUGCAAGAGCUGAGUUGUAGUAAGGUGGAAUGAGUUGACAUGACAUGUGUUGGAAUGAGCUGUAUCUAUCCCAACUCGUUGCAUGUUUUGGUUAUAAAAUCUUUUUAAAAGUAUUUCUAAGUUUUUUUUUGUUAUAUAUUUUUAAUUUUUAUUAAUUUUUUAGUGUUUUAAAAUUAUUUUGAUGUAUCGAUAUUAUAAAAAAAAUUUAAAAAAUAAAAAUUUAUUAUUUUAAUGUAUUUUUAAAUAAAAUAUACUUUUAAAAACAAAAUUUAAAUUAGCAGUAAAAACACAACAUAAAUGUGACAAAACACAGUGAGCUAAACACCAAGAGAAAGAGUGUUUAUCCAACCUAGUUAAAUCUUAGGCGUCGAUUCUGGGCAUCCAUUUUAAUCCUGACCGUUAGCUACAAAAACUGGAAAAAGAAAGGAGCACUAGAAGACGGCUUCAGUUUUAUCUUUUUCUAUCCUUUCAUUUAUGGUACGUUGAAAGGUUGUCUUCUCUAUCUUAAAAAUAUAUAGGGAGGGGACGUAGAUUUCGGGUAAUUGGCUAGUCAACGUCGGCUAUGCCCAUACUGUGCCAUUGGGCGCCACUAUCCUUCCAUUUAUGGUAAUUGACUAUUCAACGUUUUUCUUUUCACAUAGUUGUGGGGUGUCUACUCUUCGAAUGGGGUUCUUCUAGUCCUAGAUAGGAUACUACCUUUUCUUUCGUUAGGAGAUAGGAUUUGUCAUACUUUUUCCCUUCAAAUGCUGAAAUUAUUAAAAAAUAAUAUAAAUUAAAUCUCAUUUAAUAACUUAAAUUUUUUGAUUGAAAUGAUUUUUUGAUAUUUUUAAAUUUUUUGAUUGAAAUGAUUUUUUGAUAUAAUAUCAAUACUUUGAUAACUAAAUGGUCACGAGUUUGAAUUUCACAAUCUCUAUUUAUUUGAUAAAAAUUAAACACAGGAUAAUGUAGACAUGUAUAAGUUUUAAGCUCAAAAGACUUUUAUAUGAGGGAAUGUGUUAGAAAAUAAUAUAAAUCAUAUUCUAGAACUUUAUUUAAUAAUUUAAACUUUUAGAUUGAGAUGGUUAUUUGAUAAAAUUGACAUGAUAAGGUACCAAUUAAGUCUGUGUCUUUAUGUGGACAAGAUUUCUAUUUUCUUGCCUAACUACAAAGUUUACUUGAAAUGGUAGUGAUUGAUUAUCCUUUCCUAGUUGUUUGAAAAGUAAUACGCACGUGCCAGCAAUGGCCCUGCAGGUAAUGGCGCCACAAAUGGUUUGGGAAAUUAAACUCCUUGCCCUCUCUAGGGCCUAGAUUUGUCUCCGCUGAUAGUGUGCUAAAGAAUUUAAAAGAAUUGGUAUUAGUAUUGUGAGUUUGAAGAAAAUUAGAGAAAUGAAAAAAAAAUGAGGGCGGCUAAAUUAUGGCUCUGUAAUUGGCUCUUCCAUAGACUGUAGUGGUCAGCGCCUUUGGAUUGCAAACAUCUAUGCUUCUAGAAAUCUUGAACUUCCAGUUUGUUAAGAGUUUUUAUCUAGUCACCCACGAUGGUCUGUAAUGAACUGAACAACCUAGUCAUUGAGAAGCCUAUAACACUUUAUGCAAGUCUCCAAGUGAACAAAUUUGCAGAUUAUGCUUGUCUCCUAGCAUUGAAAAUUCCCACGUUCGUAAAGCUUUUGAGGAUACUAUGAAGCUCAUCCCAUAUGAUUCCCAUCUAUCGAGUGCUGUAACAUCACAAUUCAAAGUUAAAACUUCAUGUUGAUUCAAAAAAAACUAAUGUUAAGAUAUCCAAAAGCCUUGAAAUGAUUUGAGAAUUUCAAGUGUUAGACAAAAAAUCCACCAUGAGUGAUUGGAUGUUCAAAUAUCUUAUGCGCUGCGACAAGGUCGGAUGUUAGAAAUAUGGGUGAACUCUCCCUCCAGUUUUUAUAAAACACUUUAAAAAAAAAAAAAAUCAUGAGGUUGCCUUCUUCACUCUCGCCUGUAAUAUGGGCUCUCAAAAUUGAAUGUGGAGCUGGAACCACUCGUCUCAUUAUCUUCAAGAUCUUCUAAAUCCUUAUUUAUUAAGUAAUGGUCACUUUUGAAACUUCCCUUUACAAAUCUUUAUUCACUAAGUUAUGACAGUUUUGUUCUUGGGCAGAACCUCCUCAACCAUAAUUAAUUCCCCUCUGCCAUAACCAUGUUUUGCGUUGUGAUCUCUAGCCAUAGUAGUUCAGCAACAUUAAAAAAAAGAAGGAACAAUAGGAUAUGAUACCAACUUGCACAAUUUAAACUAAUUAGACUGGGAAUAAAAAAAAAACAUGGGAAGAUAGAAUUCACCAAAAGGGCCAAACAAGAACCCUAGCUACAUUGUUAUUUUCAGAAUAUAUUCCUCCACCAAAAUCUACCUCAUAAAAAUAUUUUCAAUAACUUAAAUAGGUCUAUCUUCUCGAUCAAAAUGGAAAAAAUAAUCUUACAUGGAUAGAAAAAUUAAAAGCUAAAAUUUGAAAUAAAUAAAAACUAAAACUAAAAAAAAUAGCAAUUUAUAAAUCUAAUUUGAAAGUCUUGAUAACCUCAACGAGCCAAUAUUUCACUAUAGAAUAGAUCUGCAUAAUCUUUUAAUGAAAUUUAAAUAUGAUCUAAUAAUUAAAUAAAAUAUUAUGUUUAUUUUUAUCAGAAAUGUUAUUUGGAGUGACUAAAUCUUUUCUUGAGUUUGAACUUUUUAUUUAAUCCAUAAAUGUAUUUAUUAGGUAUUUUAUAUACUCUGAUUAUUAUUCUUGUACAUUAAUAUUAGGAAUAACCACAAUAAAUAUUGGUAUGGGAAAUUAAACUCCUUAGAAUUACCUUACCCAACUCUGAAGCCCUAGAUGUACAUGGCGUGGUAAAGGAUUUAAAAGAUAUGGUAUUAGUGUAUGGGAAAGAAAUUAAACUGAGAACUUGGCUCUGCCUCGGUGCUCAGUACCAUUCGAUCUCUAACAUCUAUGCAUGCUUCUAGAAAUUUUGAGCUCCUAGUCCGUUCAAAGUUUUUUUUAGCAGCCUUCCUUGAUGAUCUAUAUGAACCGAACAAUCAAGUCAUUGAGAAGCCUACAACACUUAGCCUAGUCCCUAACUUUGUGGCGCAUUGAGUGGAAGAAAUUUUCAACGUUUGACUCCAAGUAGUCACUCAUUUACGCUGUUUAGAAUCCAAGUUAAAUUUCCAUGUUGAUAAAAAAAAUAAAGUUAAGAUGGCAAAAUUCGCUGAAUCCGUACUUCAUGAAAUUUUAAUUAUUACAUAGGAAAAUACAUGUCCAAAGUUAAAAACACAUUAUAUUAUUCAAUGAACUGUAAUAUAAAUUGAUAGUUGAAAUAUAAGGUUGUGUUGCACUCAUGAAAUGAAAUGAUAGAAAGAUCUGAUUUAGUGUUAGGUUUUAAGCCAAUAGAAUUAGUUUGAAAGGAUAAUAUUAAUUGUUUUUUAAAAUGAUUUUUUGUUUGAAAAUAUAUUUAAAAAAUAUAUUAUUUUUAUAUUAGGACAUCAAAAUAAUAUAAAAAUAACAAAAAAAUUAAUUUAAAAUAAAAUAAAAUUAAUUUUUUAAAAAAUACUUUUAAAACCUAAACAAUUUUCUCAGUCUUGUCUUCUAACAUAAAAAUAUAUAUAUAUAUUAUGAAGCCAACAGUAUCAAUCACAUAAUCCAUUAUCUGUCAGAGUCUCGGUACUUGAGGGAUUUGAUCCCAUAUGACACAAGCCUGGUGACUUUACUAAUCAGCUCUUUUCUAGGUUUCUUGCGGGUUUUUUUUAUCAGUAAUCCUUCUCCAAUUUGUCGUCUCAAACUGGUUUUUAAUAUCUAUUUGAUGAUCAAAGAAAAGAAAAGGCCUAAUCAUCUAACAAGUAGUUUUAAUUCUAUUUCUGUAUAUUUCUACUUAAAAUAUAUUAAAAAAUAAUAUAAAUCAUAUAUUAAAACUUUAUUUAAUAAUUUAAGUUAUUAAGUUAAGAUGAUUCUUUAACAUGAUAUCAAAGUAUUGAUGACCAAGUGGUCAUGAGUUUAAAUCUCAUUAUCUCUAUUCAUUUGAUAAAAAAUAAGCACAAGGUAAUAUGGUCUUGUGGAAGUUUAAAGCCCAAAGAGCUUUCAAUUGAAAGGGUGUGUUAGAGAAUAAUAUAAAUCAUAUCUUGAGAUCUUAUCUAACAGUUUAAACUUGUGGGUUAAGAUGAUUUUUUGACAGAGUAAAAAUAUAAGCAUAGUAAUAAAUAUCUUCCAAGUUUAUUACUGCGGAUCAACUCAACAACCUACCAAUUAAAUAUUUUAUUUUAUUUUAAAUUGGUUUUUUUAUGAAAAUAAUAUAAAAUAUUUUAAAAAAAUCAUAAUUUAGAAUGACUUGCCAACCCUUCUACGAACCGAAUCUCGGAUUGGAUUGAUAUCUAGUUUGUAGUUUAUAACUAAGAACGUGAGAUGUAUCUCUUGCCAUCAAGGCAUUUAGAAUUUUCAUAUCUAUCGCUAUAAGGUGCUUUGUAGUUUCAUAAAACUUUGCUUAGUGAACCUACUUUUGUCGUUAUAAGUCAUCUAAGCAGACCCGUAUUCUACACGCACAAAUAUGCAUAAAAAUCUACAUGCUAUCCUGCUAUAUAUGGCCCAAACCAAACCUUAUUUUUCCAUCCAGAUUUUUUACCCUUAAUUAAAUAAAAAAACACCUUGCUUACCUUAUGUUUUCUCUUAACAUGGGAAACAAUGUACUAUCCAUCAUUCUGGCUAUGAUGCUGGCUGUAACCAUGCCGCAGUUGAUAGUGUCUCAAAAUUGUGGUUGUGCUCCCAACUUGUGCUGUAGUCAGUUUGGCUUCUGCGGCACCGGUGAUGCUUAUUGUGGCCAAGGAUGCCGGGAGGGACCUUGUACCUCAGCACCUAGUACCCCUAGCACGCCUAGUAACAAUGAUGUUACGGUGGCUGAUGUUGUUACACCGGAAUUCUUCAACGGUAUAAUCAAUCAAGCCGGGGGAGAUUGUGCCGGGAAGAGCUUCUACACACGAGAUGCGUUUCUCAGUGCCCUCAAUUCUUAUUCUCAGUUUGGCAAGAUUGGAUCAAAUGACGAUUCCAAACGUGAGAUUGCAGCAUUUUUUGCUCACGUCACGCAUGAGACCGGACGUAAGAUCUCUUAAAUCUCAUCUAUAUAUAUAUAUGUAUAUUGUCACACAUCACACCUUCAGUAAACAACAUAAUAAUAAUAAUAAUAAUCAUAUAGCAGUUAAAAACUUUAUUAACAUGCAUACAAACUUGGAAAUGCUAUAGUUGCUAGAGAAUGAUCGUUAUGAUAUGAACACAAGCAUAACCAUACAUCUCAAAGUUAACAAAUGGAUGUGUUUUGCUUGGUUUACAGACUUCUGCUACAUAGAAGAAAUAAACGGUGCCUCUCAGGACUACUGUGAUGAGACCAAUACACAGUAUCCAUGCAACCCGAACAAGAAAUACUUUGGCCGUGGACCUCUUCAACUAACAUGGAAUUACAAUUACGGGGCGGCUGGAGGGGCAAACAACUUUGAUGGACUAAACUCUCCUGAAACUGUGGCCAAUGAUCCUGUUGUGUCGUUCAAGACUGCCUUAUGGUUUUGGAUGACUAAUGUCCGCCCUGUGGUCACUCAAGGGUUUGGUGCGACGAUUAGAGCCAUUAAUGGUGCAGUUGAAUGUAAUGGUGGAAAUUCUGGUGCUGUUCAAGCUCGAAUUGGGUAUUACACAGAUUAUUGUAACCAGUUUGGCGUUGCACCUGGCGAUAAUCUAAGCUGUUAGGUUACAUUAUGCAUAUUAUAGUAUAGCAAUGAAAUGAAAUGGAAUCUACCUUCUGCCAUUUCUCGAAUGUAAGGUGGGAUACCCAGUGGUGUUCUGUAACUCUCGAUCGAGUUCGAUGUAUUUCUUGGAAUGGAUUUUAUAGAUAAAUAAAUGAAAUAAAGGCAUCACAUAAUUGAUUUUGCUUAUAAUGUAUUUGCUGGCUUAAUCGUUG
rnacentral:lncRNA from 1 species